rnacentral:rRNA from 1 species
GAUGAACGCUAGCUACAGGCUUAACACAUGCAAGUCGCGGGGCAGCAUGGGGGUUGCUUGCACUCCCCGAUGGCGACCGGCGCACGGGUGAGUAACGCGUAUCCAACCUGCCCUUCACCACGGGAUAACCCGGCGAAAGUCGGACUAAUACCGCAUGUUGUCCAUUGACGGCAUCCGAUUUGGACGAAAGGUUUGGCGGUGAAGGAUGGGGAUGCGUCCGAUUAGCUGGACGGCGGGGUGACGGCCCACCGUGGCGACGAUCGGUAGGGGUUCUGAGAGGAAGGUCCCCCACACUGGAACUGAGACACGGUCCAGACUCCUACGGGAGGCAGCAGUGAGGAAUAUUGGUCAAUGGGCGUAAGCCUGAACCAGCCAAGUAGCGUGCAGGAUGACGGCCCUAUGGGUUGUAAACUGCUUUUAUGCGGGGAUAAAGUGGCCCACGUGUGGGUUUUUGCAGGUACCGCAUGAAUAAGGACCGGCUAAUUCCGUG